ACAUGAGAAAUGCAAACUCUCUUCUCUUACGGAGCAGGUUUCUUCUCUCCAAAUCGUGAUGAGAGCCAGUUCAUGUUGCAUCACUUGCCCAGGUGACACAUCAAAAUGCCUUUCCCACUGGGACCUUCAGACCUCUCUGUUAUGCAGAAAGCACGGGACUCUGUGUUGAGCGUCUUUCGUCUCUCCAGCCUCCCAUAUCCCCACUUGCCAUAAAUGAACUGUGAGUCAACAAGUACACAGGGCAUUCGCCUGUGUCCAGAGACAGAGCUUGAGGUGCUUUGGGGGCCCCAGGAGACAACUGCAACAGUGUCUGUUGGACUGUCAUGCAUAAUGGAUCACCUAGGGAUCUGGCUACAAAGCAGGCUCUGAUUCAAGAGGGCCAGGGUGGCCUAAGAAUCUGCAUUUAUAACACCCGGCCAGGUAAUUUCGUUGUUACUGGACAAUGAACCACACUUUACAUAGCAAGAAACUAGAGAACAGCAUGAAACAAAGGUGACCUACCAAUCAAGUCUUAAAUAGGGAGGUGAUUGCAGUGAAUGACUGGGGAGGAGUGGGCGAUCAUGUCAGGCAGGGACACCCAGGUUAACCUCUAGGCCAAGUUCAAGGGAAGGGCAGGCUCCACAGGAUGCUACCAGCUCUCUAAGGCCCUGGACACUCUCCUUUCCCUACUGAGUGACUCACUCUUUCCUAUCAGCUGUGCACCCAAAACCGGGUGUUUGUACAGCCUCCAGACCAAUUUCUCACACAACAGAUCCUGACUGCUGUGUUUUGUAUCUAAGCCUGACAGCCCCCUCAAUUGCUGGUCUGGCUUUGGUGUUUGCUGUUCUGAAUUGUGCAACCACAAGGGAGAGAGAACUUGAGCCCUUAUGAUGUGAAGGGGCUAAGGGGCUUCUUUAGUUCCAGUCUCAGGUACACAGGCAUCUCUAGAGCAAGGGAGCUUCCAAAGCUUGGCUUGAGUGCCCUGGGCUUCUGCCAUCCACCCUGUCUGGAUGUUCCAGAGUAGCCUGUCUUCAGUUCAAUAAAAAUGAAAGCUACUUUUAGCUUAAGCUCAAGAUGCUCAUCCAUAUGGUCCUGAUUGAAUUCCUAUAAAUCUUCUGAAGUCCCCCAGAAGAGGAGGGGGUUCCACACCUCAUUAUAUCCAAUUAAACUCACUCAGAAGCUAGUGAUCCCCCCAUUUUUAUGAGGUUUUGAUUUGCAUUUCCAUGGGUAGCUGUUGGUGUUUGGGGGCAGAGCCUGUCUCUGUAUGCAGCACCUGCUCACACUCACACAGCUCAGAGUCAGGUACCAAGGGUUGCCUGUUUAGACUAACACACUGCCUCUUCACCACAUUCCUGCGAGAUAAAUACCAUCAUCCUUAUUAUUACCAUCCCAUUUUACAGAGGAGGAAACUAGGCACGGAGAGAUUAAGUAGCGUGCUCCAAGUCUCAUAGCUAGUAAGCAGCAGAGCCAAAAUCAGAAUCCAGCUCCGGAGCGCUCUUCACCUCUCUGCCUGACUGCUUGCUACCUCCAUGUGAUUUUCCAGUGGUGCUCGGAGGCCACGUAGGACUGUGCCAGGGGCUGUCUGGAGGAUGCAGGAAGGGGAAGUGUAGCAAAUGGGGCCUCGGUGGAAAGCUGGGGGGUGGGGGAGGGUCAGAAGCAAAACUUCUCUAUUUUCUGCCUAAGUUUGGAACCAACUGAGGUAUGGAAAGAGGUUUUAGGCAAAGGAAAUAAAAUUUUCUCUUAUCUUACUGGUAAAGCUGUUUGAAAAAUAGAGUCCCCAUCUGAUCACAUGGGCUUGCUAUGCUAAUACUUCACCCAGAAUGGGACAAUUGCAGGGGGGUGGCAGAUGCCAUCGGGGCUGGCCCGCGGCCCACAUGUGCUCAAUUCCUUCCUCCAAGACUGGGUCUGAUACAGUGUAGACAGCAGGAGAUGGAGAGUGACUUAGAUGCAGCGGUUGGCCAGUGGGGCCCACCGGGAUCACUUGGGGGGCUUUGAAAACUGUUGCUGCCUGGGUCCCACACCUAGAAAUUCUCAUUCGCUUGGUUUGCUUUGGGAUGCAGCCUGGGUUUGAGGAUAUUUUUUUCAGGCUCCCCAGGUGAUUGUCACGUAAAGCCAGUAUUGGGAACCACCACCAGUAGAAGUUCCCCACAAGGACAUGAGAGGAAAGGGGCACCUGCUUCCACUGCAACAAUUAGCCCUGCUCACAUUGAUCUCUGUUAUCUAUUGAGGAUUCACAGGAGAAUGUGAAGGAAGGGCCUGCAUCUUAAAGCUAGAAACCACUGCUCUAAACCAUGUAGACUAGCUGCCUGGAGUGUGCCCCUUUAUCACAUCCAGCCACUAAAAGGUUGAGUCAGCCAAGAGAAGACCGGGGGAAGAGAGGAGAGGUAGGUGAGCCUAGGGCUGGCAUCACUAGCGUAUAUGUCUGUAUUCAAAAGCAAUGGCUUCAUGGCACUAUAGAAGUAGAAAGAACCUCAUGUGUGAAAAAGAAAUUGGUAAAGAGUAUCUGAGAAAAGAAGAAAAGAGAAAGAAGAAAAGGAAGCAAGGAAAGGAAAAUAAGGUUUAGCAGUCCUGGGCUAUGAUUCUUUGAUAAGGAAUUUUAUCAUGGUCUAGAUUCCUUUAACCCCUUACAGGGGAUACUCCAGAAAGUGACACAUUGUCGUUUCCCAAGCAAAUCCAGUGCUCCUGGAGUCCAGUCUUCUCCCUCUAGUCCAGAAAUCAAAUGCAUAGUGCCUGAAUUAAUUGCAGAAAAUAGAGUUCCUCAAUAUGUCCACGGCAUUAAGAUGCCAAGAGAAGCCAGGCAAGGUGGCUCACGCCUGUAAUCCCAGCACUUUGGGAGGCCGAAGCGGGUGGAUCACCUGAGGUCAGGAGUUCAAGACCAGCUUGAUCAACAUGGUGAAACCCUGUCUCUACUAAGAAUACAAAAAGUAGCCAGUGUGGUGGCAGGCACCUGUAACCCCAGCUACUCAGGACCCUGAGGCAGGAGAAUCGCUUGAAUCCAGGAGGCAGAGGUUGCAGUAAGCCAAGAUCAUACCACUGCACUCUAGCCUUGGUGACAGAGUAAGACUCCAGACUCCAUCUCAAAAAAAAAAAAAAAAAAAAAAAAGCCAAGAGGUAGAGAGAGAUUUCAUAGAGCCCAUUAUUUACCAUACACUAUCAAUAACCUUGAAAUUCCCUUGAAAGGCAUUUUUUUCUACUCCAUAUAGUUCAAUUUAGGUUCUUGGGUUUGCGUUUGAAAGGAUUCCAUCCCAGAGGCAGGAGAAGUUAACUUUUUCCCCACCUCUGGGGAUUUUAGACCUGGCGAGUUGAAGUUUACUGGAAGGCCCCUAAGGAGACCCUUCAAGAAGAAGUUGGCUGUGCAGAUGGCACUCAGGUGGGAGGGGGAAGAAAGAUGGUCUUCAAAACACAGAGACGUGUAGCAUAUGUGUUAGAUAUGGUUCUGGGGAGAACCAUAUUUAAGGGAGGAGCGGAGGAGAAACCUAUAAAGAAGACUCAGGAAGAACAGCCUGAAAUGGAAACCAGCAGAAUGUGGAAGGGGAAAGCAUUUCAAAGAGGAAGGAGCAGCCAGAGGUGUUAAAUGCUGCUCACAUGGAAAGAAACACGAGGACGAAAAAGUGCACAGCAAAGAUAAUAUUUCUGAAACGUGAAACCAAUGUAUGUCUGUUUCAUGCUCCAUAGAUCGUGUUCCCUGUAAUUUUCCCGCACCCGCGGAAUCAAUGGCACCAGUGGGUGCUCCUGAAGGUGCCUCUGAGGAAGACAGUAGGUGCCAUCCAGAACAAGGAAGUAGUUGCUUGAUUUUGAACUGUACGUUAGCAAGCUUUAUUAGGAGAGGAAAGAGUUUUCCUAAUUCCAAAAGCAGCUCCCCUUUGCAUAUGAAGAGCAGAGGGUUUGAGGCUCUAAGCCAUGGUGUAGACAGGAUGCAGGAAAUGACAGGGGGGCUGCUUCUGGGCUGUGGAAGAUGGGUGGAGGGGACAAAAUGAGAAGUGUCCUAUAUUCCUCCCCAAAACCUCCUGGUUUCUGGAUGCUUCCUCAAACUUUAAUCUCCCAGCUGCCUUUGUUCUCUAAGUCACUGGUUCUCAAACCUUGUGGGACCAAGGGCUGCAUGAGAAUCACCUAGGACCCUUGUUAAAAAUACAUAAUUUCAGCCACCUCAAGAUCUAUAUAGUCAGAAUUUCUAAGGGUAACUGAGAAUUCGCAUGUCACGAGUUCCCUGGAAAGAUUCUGCUGAGAGCCAGCGUGGAAAGCCCCGGCACAGUGAGUGUUCCUGUUGGUCCCCUCUCUGACCACCUCAGACCGACUACAUCUCCAGGCUCGAAGGACCUGGCCCCUGAACCCCCACCCUCCACUGCUUUAUUUUUCUCUGUGGAACUAUCACCAGCUAACAUUCCAUUUUGUUUACCUGUUUAUUGUAUGUCCCCUUCUGCUAGAUGGAUGCUUCAGGAGGACAAAGUCUUUUUGCUUUUUUCUUAUUUUCUUUAUGGUUAACUGCACACACUAGGUACAUAAUAGACAUUCAGGAACAAUUAAUGAAUGGAUGUAUGAAGAAUCAAAGAACCGAGAAGCUUUCUACCUAUUCUGCCUAAGGAUACAUGAUGAAACUAAGCUAAAAAAAUGAAAGGGAAAUAAUUCUAUCAAGAAAAAAUUAAAUAAGAGGAUACAGCAAACUGGCUUUUCCUUUAGAGAGUCACCAAUAUAUAUACACAUAUACGUAUACACAUACAAAAAGUCACAGACACAAAGAGGGAAAUGAGCCACAGUGUUAGGAGAUAGCUCAGAGACUCUGAGCCACAGAUACUCGGCUGUGGGUAUCUGAGUCAGUUUUCCUGGAAAUAGCUUUGAAAUACCAGCAUCUCUAGUCCUUUCUGAAUUUGUAAGUAGUCUUUGGACUUUUGUUAUCAAACAUCAGAGUUUAUUCUUGAAAUAAAAGUUUGUUUCCCCUUGGAAUUCUGAGGCUUUCUCCUUUAGAACCUUGGCAGCCUAAGUCCCUCUCUACCUGUGUCUUUAAGUAUGGUCAAUAUUCAAAAGCUUUGGAUGGCGUUGUCUUCGUUUAUGCGGAUAUUAGGUUGCCUCAGUCAACAAUGCUUGAAAAUGGCUUUAAAAUGAGCAUCAUAUCAUGAAGCCAUAUUUGUAUUUAAAUUAAAAUUGUUUUUUUUUUUUGGCCUAUGUCAUACCAGGGAUAAUAUAGAGCAACAGAGAACCAGGGAAAAUGUGAUUCAUGCAUCUCCAAGUCAGGAAAAAGAGACUAUUGGAAUCAUAGCCAGCGACAAACAAGUUAUUGGGAUUUAUAGAAAAGGAUGGCUGAGCAUUCCUGGAAAAACAACUGACUUUUUGUUGUUGUUGCUGUUGUUAGGGAAGAUUUUGUCUGCUUAACUGGCCAGAGUUUUCACUCCAUCCCCCGAAGAAUUGACGUUUUAAAAAGCACAACUGUAGAUUUAGAUUUUCACAGUCUUUUGCUAGAUUCUUUACCAAAGACUAUUAGUGAGUAGUAACCCUGGGAUUGUGUAAAACUUUAUUAAGGAUGAGGGAAUAAAUAGGUUUAAUUUCAGGAAAUAAAACUGGGGCUAAAUUAGUACUUCUCUGACGGAAAAUGUAUAAAUAAUGUGAUCCCCUGGGGACCCAGGUUAGCACUAGAUUUAUUUUUAAAUUUUAUAACUCAUCUGAAAGAGAGAGAACACAGUGGAAUCUAUAUAUUUGUAUAUUCCUCUAAGCUGUUCUGAUUUGAAAGAUAUUAAAUCAAUAGGAAUAACUUUCUGAGACUCUUGUAAGAUUGCAUAAGUCAGCACAAAAGUGGCAGGUAACCUUCAGUGUAAGCAAGAAUAAAAGAAUACAUUUAGGAGAAAGGCAUCUAAACUGUACUUAUAUGAUGAUGAAUUUCAAGCUAUGAAUUACUACCAGGGAAAAGGAUUUGAAAUAUGGAGGACCGAAAAGGCCCCAUAGUCAAAUAAUUUGGUGAAAUAUUACAAACUAUAUUCUUCAAGAUUCACCAUGUACCUGAGCAUAUGAAAGGCUUGAGAAAGGCCUGCAGUAAAGAAACCUGCUUAACUUUGUUUAUUCUGGGCUCAAAUAGGUUUUCAAAAGGAGAGAACGUGGGUUGUUAACUUCCUGGUUGGCUACUGAGAGAAAUGAGUCUCUUGAGCAAUUAUCCUUUGCAGGUAGCUUCCAUGAAGAACCCAGUUUUUGAGUGCCUCUAGCAGAGACUAAGCUUCAAACCUCAUUAACCAUGGAUCCAAUCCAAUAUGGCAGCUUGUAUGUUCUCCAUUCUCAAAGCCCAAUAUAAAUGAUGGGCUUUCUUCAUUCACCCAGAUAACUAAGAGCUGAUGGUACCCCAUUGAGCAGAUAUGGGAGACAAUGAAUCUUCAUAGAUGAGUGCCUAAGGAUAUAUGUGUCACUCAAGAGUAAAUGAACCAAUCAUGUUGCUAUGCAUAGGGACUCAGUUAAAGAAAAGUCAGAUAAAAUGGGAGGCUGGUAUCUCGCACAGCACUGAUCCGGCUCUCUGCCUAAUUUUUCACUUUUCAUCCAGAUGUUCCCCGUCAAGAAGGCACAGUCAAUAAUGUAUGAAUCUUAAAGGCAGAGGCAGAUGUGGUUAUUACUCCCUGUAGGCAUUUCCUGACUUGGAGACGACAUGUUACUCGAGAAUGACUACAAUUUUUAAAAAUUUAAGUUGAUAUAGCCCGCUUAUGAGUAAAUGCAUUUCAGUGCAAAAGUCUUUUCAGAAUUACAGUCAUCAUCACAGUUUAGUUUGGCCUUUAAAUUUUCACUGUAAACUCUCCAGAUGGUCACAUAUGGGGGCUUCUAAGGCAGAACACGCUUCCCAAUAACAUUAGAGCAAGCAGCCUUCUCUAGGAGGCAUCCAUUUCCAGCAGUCUAUUUUUAAUAUUUGCUUUUAUUUCUUAAUCCUCCUGAACAAUAAAAAUGAACGUCAUUAUAACCAAGUGUGGCUGUAGUCAUCAAUACUUCAGAGUCCAAAAAUACAUUGGCCUUGCCUGACCAGUUGCCCAUUUUCUGGAAUAGCUGGGUAUUUAUCUAGCAGCGAGAGACCAUUAUCCUGAGACACAGUCGUGUUCCACCGACACCUGAUCUACUAAUUAAAAUCACUAUCAUGAUGGACUGUUUAAAUUCUGGUUUAAAUGUUCCUUUUGCAUUUGCAUUUAAAAGAAAACACACUCCUCAUCAUGGGCACCCCAGCCUGGGUUAUAAUUUGGCUUUCCUUUGCCAGAAUUAUAAUGUCACUCUGACUUGCCGCUGGUUAAAUCUAAAAGAGCAUCUAAAUGUGCCUCACAGCUUGGCUGUUGCUUGGCAACGCCAGCAGCCACCUCCUCAUUGGGGUGACUUCUAAUUGGUCACAAGUCUUGACAGGAGCCACUGACUUAUUAGAAAUGACACUUGAUUAUUCACCUAGAUGGCUAGAGCUGAUACUUAGCAGCAGGAAAUUUUGCAUAAAAAGGAGUCGUGGAUGUUUUUAAUAUCUGGGUGGCUUUUAGCGAUGGUGUAGUGGAAGAAGGAAGUGAUAAGUUUCAUUAGUGGAAAUUAAUUUUUCAUUUGUUGGUCACCAGUUUAGAGCACUUUAAGGCAUUAAUUUUUUCAUUUUAAAAAAAAACCCAGAAAUACGUUUAAAUACCUUCCCCCACCCCCAGCAGCUGACCCUUACUUAUUCAGAAAACCCUCCUCUGACAUCAGCCCCAAAAUAUUGCCCCCAGGUCCACCAAGGGCCAAAUCAGAUGAAAUGUUCAAUUUAUAAAGGUCAACAAAUAUUUAUUAAUUAGUUCCUGUUGUUAAGGAGUUUAUAAUGUAGAAGAGAAACAAGGUACAUAAAUCACUGCAUUAUUACCAAUCGUGGAAGGUGGUGACAGAGCUGGGGUCCUGCUUUGAGCAUCAGAAGCCACUUUGGCAGGGAGGAAGCAGUGAGUAGCACCGGAAUUGAGCUCUGAAGAUUUUGCUGUUUUGACAGAGGGAGAAGGUGCAUUGCAGGUGGAAUGAGCUGCAGGAAUCAAGGCAUCUGGACAGAAAAGUACAGGGUCCCUAUGUAUUCUGAAGUUGAUGUGUCAAAGAAAUGACAAAAGGCUUUCUUGGGAAUGGGAUGUGUUGCUGAAAGCACAUGGACCAAUGAUCUGACACUUCCCUGCACUGAGCUAAGAAUUUGGCUGCUCUCUCCAUGGCUUCAAGCAACUGUCUCAACCUGAUGCUUUGUGACCUCCUUGGAAUCUUCAAAUGUCAGUGGAAAGGGACAUUAUAGCUCAUUGCGAUCAGCCCUUCAUUUAGGGAUGAGGACCCACGUUCAGAGAGAUUCAAAUGCCAGGUCCAAAGUAACACAUAGGACCAGCAUGAGUCUCAGCUUUCUUCUUCAGAGCCAGUUUUCAGCAAACCACACUGUAUUCAUGCUAAGAGACAGUGCCUCAAUCUGUUCAUGUUUCUUGGGUACCUUCUAUGUCAAGGCUCUCAAGGAACAUUUGAUCAAUCAGUCAUCACACAGGUAUUUCUAGAAAAUCAACAGAAUGGGGUGUGCUAUGCUCAUUCUUGAUAUAACAAAUACCAAAAACUUCAUUAAUCCAUGACAACAUGCAAUAGUUACCACAAAAGAGCAAUAUUGAGAGUGUAUUAGUUAUCUAUUGCUGUGUAACAAAAUUACCCCAAAACUUAGUGGCUUAAAACAAACUUUUGUUAGCUCAUUGUUUCUGUGGGUCAGGAAUCCUGGCAUGGCUUAGCUGAGUGCAAAGGCUGAGUCCAGAGGGACUGAGGGCUGAGGCCAGAGGGAUCAAGGUGUCUUGGAGUAGUAGUCAAAUGGCUGGCCUGAUCUGUGGUCUCAUCUGAAGGCUUGACUGGGGGAAGAUCUGCUUCUAAGCCUCAUCACACGGUUAUUAGCAGGAUUCAAUUCGUAAUGGACUUUGGAAGAUAAGAAUCUUGUACUGUGUCCUUCAGUCAGUGGGGAUCUACAAAUGUUUCAGCAAAGCAUUACUGAAAUAACAAGUAUUUUUGGAAGAUCUGGCCAGGCAUGGUGGCUCAUGCCUGUAAUCCCAGAACUUCAAGAGGCCAAGGUGGGAGGAUCGUUUGAACCCAGGAGUUCAAGACCAACUUGGGCAACAUAGGGAGACCCCGUUUCUACAAAACAUUAAAAAAAUUAGCCAGCUGUGGUUGUGUGUGUCUGUAGUCCCAGAUAUUAAUACUUGAGGGGCUGAAAUGGGAGGAUGGUUUGAGCCCAGGAGGGCAAGGAUGCAGUGAGCUGUAAUCAUGCCACUGCACUCCAGCCUGGGUGACAGAAUGAGAUCCUGUCUCAAAAGAAAAGAAAAGAGGCCAGGAAGCUCUUUCAAAGAACUUUCUUUAGUACACCUGGGUGUCAGGCACUAUCAAAGUCCUAAGACUACAAAGAUGCUUAGGCUAUAGUCUUUUUUCUCAAGAAGGAAGAUGACAACCAUAUUCCAGGUGACAAGUAGCAACACCUGAACUAGGAGGUGACUGAGGAGAUAAAUAUGAAAGAACAGAUGAAAGAAAGGAAGCAAUGUUAACAUGAUGAGGCAAGAACAGAUGGCUCCAAUGGGGAGUUGUCCCUGAGGAACAAGAAAAGAGAAGAGAAUGAUUCCAGUAGUCCAAACCAGCCUGGGAGGACGGAUCCCUCCAGAGGACAACUACCAUGUUUACACCACUCCCUGCUUUCUGUGCCAAGUGUUUUGCAUAUUUUGUUUCUAAUCUUUGUCACGACUCUUCAAGGGAGGUAUUAUUUUCAUUUUUGCAGAUGAGGAACUAGACUCAGUGAGGUUAGGCAAUGUACCCAAGAUCACACAGCUAUAAAGUGCCAGGGGAAGGAAACCUACUAAUUUGCAGUGCCUUUGAGUAUUUGCUAUGCUUGGGGCAAGUAUUCUCCAACAAGGUCGGAAUCUUACACUCAAGGAAGGAAACUCAGUGAUGAGAUUCUGUGAGUCACCCAAAAGGAGAGGAGAAGAAGACCUUUGAGCAGAAGCUCUCAGCCCUUCUUGGUCGUUACUCUCUUUGCCCACUCAUCAGGCCCUCCCUCCUUUUAGAAUUCACUCUGUUGCCCUCUGUCUGCACCUUGACUCAAAAUUUCACAGACACAGUUGGUAGAAAA